CCUACGGGGAGCAGCAGUCGAGAAUCAUUCACAAUGGGGGAAACCCUGAUGGUGCGACGCCGCGUGGGGGAAUGAAGGUCUUCGGAUUGUAAACCCCUGUCAUGUGGGAGCAAAUUAAAAAGAUAGUACCACAAGAGGAAGAGACGGCUAACUCUGUGCCAGCAGCCGCGGUAAUACAGAGGUCUCAAGCGUUGUGCGGAAUCACUGGGCGUAAAGCGUGCGUAGGCUGUUUCGUAAGUCGUGUGUGAAAGGUGCGGGCUCAACCCGCGGACGGCACAUGAUACUGCGAGACUAGAGUGAUGGAGGGGGAGCCGGAAUGCUCGGUGUAGCAGUGAAAUGCGUAGAUAUC
rnacentral:rRNA from 1 species